rnacentral:lncRNA from 1 species
UUGAACUGAAGUGUUAUUGUUGUUGGUUUAUUGGACUUUUGUUGUGUUGUUUUUAUUUUUUGUUUUGUUGUUUGGACUGGUGUAGUUUAUUGCUAUAUUUUGGACUUUUGCUAAUUUUUUUCUAUUAUAAUCUUGUUGUAUUGUUGUUGUUAUUUACUUGGACUCAUGUUAUGUUGUUUUUAUUUGUUCACUUGUUUAUUUCAAUUUUCUUUUGUAUGGUUAUGUUUAAAAACUUUAAAAAAAAUUAAAAAAGAUUACAUAAAAAUAAACAACACUAAAGUUAUUUUUUCAAUUUAACUCAAACAAAUAUAUUUGAUUCGAUUAGAUUCGAAUUUCAUCUCACUCAACUCGAUUUGAGAAAAUUUCAAAUCAAGUUAAAAUGAUAAAAUAGGAUUCAUCAACUCGACUAACCUGAAAAUUUUUCAUUUAAUUCGAUUGAAAGCUCACCCUUAGGUUUAGUAAUUACUUAGGGUUCAAGUAAGACUUAGACAUGCUUAUAAAUAGUUAAGUAUGGCAAACCACAAAAAUAUGUGUUUUACUUGAUUUUUUAUUAAUAAAAUACUCUAAAGAGAGAUUUUCUUAUGCGACUAGUUUCUUAUUUCUUUCUUGAUAAAACUUUUGCUUCAAUUUUUCAAGAUUGUGGAAGAGGUUGAUCAUAAUUUCAACUUUUAAGUCAAUUGGGAAGGUUGAUCAAUGGUCAAUAUAAUUUUUUGUUGGUGCAAGUUCACCAGAAGGAGACUAAACUAUCUAUCCAACUAUUUUCCAUCAACACCAUUCAUAUUUUUUUUAUCAUCAACUUGUCUAUCAUCUUUUGUUACUUUUCUUAAUCUUUAAUUCUUUAUUUUCCAUUUAUUUAUAGUUAUUGAUGGAAAUUUCCAAUCCAAAAAUUUUAGUCCAGAAGUUACUUAGGGCCCUUUUGGAUAGGUAGUGCGUUUAUUUGCGGUUAGUGUAAAAAUAACGGUGACGGUGAGAUUAGAUGCUAUAAUGUGAUACAAAAAAAAUACACCAUAAUAAAAGUAAAUGCCCAUCCAAAAAAAUCCUUAUGUUGUAAGAAAGAAUCAUGAACUUUAAGUUGAUUGUUUGUACACUUAAAAUUUAGUCCCAAAAUUAUAUUGAUAUUCAUUUAAUUAGUAAUUUCUUAUCAUUUAAUUACAAAAAAAUUAAAUAAGUCUGCUACCCUAGCACGCUCUUGAGCCUGCCGCCUCUGGCAAGUGGUUUUAGGUUUUUGUUCUUUUGUUUCGCUUUGUGCUUUUAGUCUUUAUUUCAUUUUGCAGUCGGCACAUCUAAACCAGUUGAGUGGUACGGUUGUCCUGGAUAGUGUUGUCCUCCUUUUUUGGUCUUCCAAUCUACAAUCACGGAGACUAAAUUAGCAUAGUUGAAAAUUAAUGAGGAAGAAGAAGAAAUUUUACAGAUGCAAAUAGAUCCAGAAACAAAAAGAGGAGUGGAGGAGUUUCAAUUGGUGGGGUGUUUCCUAACUGCCAAUUUAAUCUAUUUUCCAGCCAUGAGAAGUACUAUGACAAAUCUAUGGCACCCUGCUCGUAGGGUUCAAAUUCGAGAUCUGGGGGAGAAAAGGUAUCUUUUUCAGUUUUUUCAUGUUAUGGAUAUAGAGCGGGUUUUGAAGGGAUCACCAUGGACUUUCAAUAAUCAUUUAUUGGUGCUUCAUAAUCUAAAGAGGGGGGAAGAUCCACAAGCAGUUCCCUUGGUUUUCUCUCCUUUUUGGGUACAAAUCCAUGAUGUCCCACUUAGGAUGUUUUUGAAAAAUUUAGCAAUACAAUUGGGGAAUUUUAUAGGGGUUUUUCUAGAGUAUGACGGUUCAGUGUUGGGUAAAGAAAAUCGUAAUUUCUUAAGAGUAAGGGUACAGAUUAAUGUUAAGCGCCCUCUAAAAAGGAAGAAACAGGUCAUAUUUUAUGGGAGAUAUUAGUACGUUAAUUUUAAGUAUGAACGUUUAUCUCUUUUUUACUUCUAUUGUGGUUGGUUAGGGCAUAACGAUUCUUUCUGUGAAGCAAAAAUGAUGCUCGAGGUGGAAAUUACUGAAAUGGGUUAGGACUUGUCCCUACGAGGCCAAUCUCGGAGAGCUCUAUCGUUGAUUAAUAUAUGGCUACGAGAAGAAGGGGAAAGGAGCUGGAGGGACAAUCGAGUUUUGAGGGUUAGAUAUUGGGAUGGGGAUAACAAAUAACGAAAUGGAAAAAAAUUCGAUCCAAUUCUCGAUCUUAGAAUGUGUCGUCCUCUAACCAACGAGAAAACGACUGUUGGACGGAUCAAGUACAAACUGAUAUGGAGCAUGAUUUGGAAAAUGGCAUCUUAGUAGGGGAGAAAGGGAAAAAAUGAUUGCGAGGGGAGAUGGAAAAUCCGAACGAAAAAGAAAAGAGUGGUAGUGCAAUAAUUAGUAGGAGGAUGGUGGAAUCAAAUUUGUUAUUAUCGGCGGUUGCCAAAAGGCAUGCCGACUGGGCACAAUAAAAAUCAUAAGUUGGAAUGUCCGUGGUUUGGGGAACCCACGGACGAUUCGAAGACUUCGGCAUUCACUGAAGAUGCACAAUCCCCAAAUCGUCUUCCUCAUGGAGACAGCUUUAUCGAAGACAGAUGGACCGAGUUCAUAGAAGAUGUGGUUUUGAGAAUGGUAUUAAGAUUGACUCAGAAGGUACUAGAUGAGGGUUGUGUUUAGCAUGGAAGACUGGAAUUAACGUUGUAUACGGAGUUUUUUUAAAAGACAUAUUGAUGUGGUAAUUCAAAAUUCUGAAGUAGGUUUUGAUUGGAGAUUAACAAAUUUCUAUGGAUCUCCAUAUGCACAAGAUAGAAACGAUUCAUGGGCUGUUUUAAAAAGUCUAACUUCUGAUAUGGAUCUCCCUUGGUUUGUAUGUGGUGACUUUAAUAAAAUUUUAUAUGGAUUUGAAAAGAAAUGAUGGUUGCCUAGAGAUGAAAGAAGGAUAGAGCUCUUUCGAAAAACUUUGGAAGAAUACCACCUGAGUGAUGUGGGUUUUUUUGGCAGUUGGUUUACUUGGGAGAAAGGUAAUUUACCGACGACGAACAUUUAAGAGCGUUUGGAUAGAGGUGUAGCCAGUACAAACUGGUUUGUAAAGUUUCCAAAGGUGAAAGUCUAGCAUUUAGUUCACUCUUUUUCAGAUCAUUGUUCUCUCCUUAUUAACACAAGAAUGAUAGAAGAGAGGGGGCAGAAUAACAAUUUCAGAUUUGAAGCUUGGUGGUUAUUAGAGGAUUCCUUUUUAGACCAAGCAAAGUUUUUAUGGGAAAAUUCAGUUGGGGAGUUGUUGCAGAAGCUGGAAAAUUUAAAAAAAGGUCUGAAAAAAUAGGCUGGACAAAUUAACGUGAGUAGGAAGCAAAGGAAAAAGCUCUUAGUGGAAAAAUUGGUUGAGUUGUCUGAAGCUGACAGAGAUGACAAAAACCUAGCUGAACUAAUUGAUAUGAAGAUUGAUUUGAAUUUUGAGAUAGAAAAAGAUGAAUGCUACUGGGAAUAGAAGGCUAAGUUGAACUGGUUAAAAUUUGGAAAUAAGAACACAACGCUUUUUCACAGUCAAGCUACACAAAGAAGGAAAAAAACUUCAUUUGUAAGUUGCAAACGAACGAUGGACGAGAUAGGGAGACUGUACAGGAAAUUGAGAAGGUUGCACGAUCAUACUUUCAACAUUUAUUCUCGGAAGGCGAUAGAAGGAAUUAUGAUCACUUGUUAUCAGGGAUUGAAAGAUGCGUUAAUAAGGAAUAUAAUUAGAAACUCACAAUGCCUUAUACAGAAGAGGAAAUUCGUGAAGCAGUGUUUAAUAUGAGAUCCACAAAGGCCCUAGGGAAGAUGGAUUCCCGGCUUUUUUUUACCAGAAGUGCUAGCAUAUUGUUGGUCAAGAAGUUACCUCCUUUUGCUUACAUCUUUUGAAUGGCGAUAUGGAGGUUAGUCUUAUUAAUUCUACUCAUAUAAUGCUUACUCCAAAAGUUUCCAAUCCUCUAAAUAUGACACAGUUUAGGCCUAUUAGCUUAUGUAAUAUGCUUUACAAAAUCAUGGCAAACGCUAUUGCAAAUAGAUUGCAAGGAAAAAUUGGAAAAUGCAUUGAUGAAGCCUAGAGUGCCUUUGUGCCAGGGCGAAUAUCUGAUAACGUGUUGUUAGCCUAUGAAAUACUCUAUAUGCUUAAAAGAAAGCGAGUAGGAAAAAAAGGGUUUAUGGCUGUUAAACUUGAUAUGAGUAAAGCAUAUGAUAGAGUCAAGUGGAACUUUUUAAAAGAGAUAAUGGCAAGAAUAGAGUUUGAUAAAAAAUGGAUUACUACCCUUAUAAAGUGUGUAACAACUGUCUCUUAUUCGGUGGUUCUAAAUGGGCAUUUGGAGAGAAAUUUUUACCAACCAGAGGACUUCGACAAGGGGAUCCUUUAAGUCCGUUCUUAUUUCUUAUAUGUGGAAAGGGUCAUCGAGUUUAAUGAGACUAGCUAUGAUUAGAGGUUUUCUCAAAGGGGUAAAGAUUAACAAGAGUGGUCCACGGGUGUCCUACCUUUUAUUUGCGGAUGAUUGCAUUUUAUUUAGGGAGGCAACACACAGGGGAGUUAAUUUAUUUCAAAACAUCUUACGUGAGUACAGAUCCUGUUUAGGUUAUUGUGUUAAUUUUGAUAAAUCGAUAGUAUUUUUUAGCAAAAACACGGCAGAAGAGGUUCGACGGCUGAUUAUUAAUCUAUUAGGAGUUCGCACUUCUAAUGAGCCAAAGAGAUAUCUAGGGCUAUCAAACAUUGUGGGUCAAAGAAAAAAUGAGUCUUUUCAAAAUUUGAAGGAUUGCAUCAAAAAAUGUAUUGAUAAAUGGAGUACUAGGUUCUUAUCUCAGGGAGGAAAAUAGGUUUUUAUAAAUGCCGUUCUUCAAGCUAUAACAACUUAUGCAAUGGCGUGUUUUUUAUUACCAAAAGUUCUAUGCGAUGAAUUCAACAGUAUCAUUGCAAAAUUUUGGUGGUAUAAGGGUCACGGAAAAAAGGGGAUCCAUUGGUGCAUUUGGAAAAAUCUUUGCACUUUAAAAGAAAAUGUUGGUUUAGGUUUUCAAAAUUUUGGUCAAUUUAAUGUUGCGUUGUUAGCUAAGCAAGGUUGGUAUCUUAUUAACUAUCCAGAUUCUUUAUUGGCCAGAGUAUUAAAAGCAAAAUAUUAUCCGCAACCUAGUUUUCUAAAUGUUGAGUUGAGAAAUUUACCUACACUUACUUGGAGAAGUAUUUGGGCAGCUAAGGGGCUUAUACAGAAUGGGAUGUGGUGGAGAGUGGGUAGGGGGACAACAUCUUAAUCUGGAACAAUAGCUGGAUCCCAGGGAUCGAAGAUCUAGGAGGGCAGAACAGAUCAAACAAUGAGGAGUUGAAAUUAGUUUUAGAUCUUAUUGAUCCUUCAAACAGGAAAUGGAGGGUUGAUGUGAUUAAUAAUAUCUUUCAAACGGAUGUUGCUCAGAAAAUCAUACAGAUCCCUCUUGCGGAGACAGACCAUGAAGAUUUCCAAGUCUGGAAAAGAGAACAAUCUAGCGAGUUUUCAACACGUAUUGCCUACAAACUAUUAGAACAUGCUACGACGAAUCUUAAUUGUAGACACUCAAUUUUGCCCCGGCCCAGAAAUAAGUCCAAAAACAAAAAUAAUAAACUCAAAAAAAAUGAAAUCCAAGUUCAGUCUAAAAUUACAAAUAUAUAAUUUGGCUCAAUCAGAAUGGCCUAUUACUUGAAAAGAUUUAAGGUUCAUCUAUAAGCUUGACUCAUAUGGAAAUAUAAUCUUUAAUGAUAUGCAAUCUUAAAUAUGAUAUGCAAUCUUAGAUAUGAUAAAAUCUUAGAUAUGAUAUUAGAUAUGAUAUGCAAUCUUAGAAGAUAUGAUUUUGUAAUCUUAGAGAUUUAAUUUGUAGAUACCUUUUAAUCUUAACCGUUAAUGUAAUUGAUAUGUACCGUUAGAUUUGAGAAUGCUUAACUAUAAAUAGAGACCUCUCCUCUCAUUGUAAAACAACUUGACUUCACUGAAGUUUUGGGAAAGCAAUAAAAAUUCUUGAAUGUAUUCAUUCAAAUUUCUGUCCCUCUUACGUUCUUAUUCUCUGUGGUUUGUUCUUAUUUUAUUUUUCGUCUAUCUUAAUUUUUCAACCUUUUUUUUAUUUUAAUUUCUUCAUUUUUCAAAUAUGUAUAUUUAUUCCUAUCUUUUAUACAUUUGAUUAUGUAUUUUAUAUAUUAUAAUAUUUAACUUUUUUAUAUAAUUUAUUUUCAAAUAUAUAUUUUCUAUGCAUGUAUAUAUAUUAUAUUAUCAUUUCAUGUAUUUUAAACUAUUGCAUUAUAUUUUUUAUAAUUUGUAAAUAUUCUAUUUAUUCAUUUUUUUAGUGUAUGUCAUUUAUCUUAUUUAUGCAUAGUUUCAUUUUUUUAUGCUAUGUUUAAUUAUUUCUUUUAUGUUCUAUUUUAUGAUAUAUAUUGUUAUAUAAUUUUUACAUGUAUUAUAUUUUUCUUUUAGUUUACUCAUAUUUUUAUUUAUUUAUUAUCUUAUAUUUACCCUAGUAUGAUUUUUUUUAUUAAACGUAUACUCAUGUUAUUUAAUUUUGUCUUAAUGAUAUUAUUUAUGUUUGUAUAAAAAAGUUAGAAUAUUUUAUACAUCUAUACUUCAUGAUGCAUUAAUAUGUCAUCAUGAUGCAUUAAUAUGUCAUCAUGAUGCAUUAAUAUGUCAUCCUAAAACGUUAUUUAAAAUAAUACUCCAAGAAUUUUUUUUAAAAAAAUAAAAAACAAUGCUUGAUGUUUAAAAACUUCGAAAAAUAAUGCCCUAACAUGUUAAGUUACGAUUUCUCGUUUGUCUAAAUGCUUAAAGUAUCAUUCUAAAUAGAUUUUGUAAAUCACGAGAUAAUUUCAAUUACGAAAGUUUAAGAAUAUCAUGUCUUAACAUGUUGGAUGUAAUGUUUAUAUUCUUUUAGAGCUAAAAAAUUUCAAUUUUUUUAACUUAAAUAAUUCCAAUUUAAAAAAAAAUCUUAUUUUUUAAAUCCUUUCAAAUUUUUGACAUUAAGACAAAAAUCUAUUCAAUUUGGUACCAAUUUUUAGAGUUGCAAGAGUGCUAAUCCUUCGUAACCGACUCCCGAACCUAUUUUUCUUAAUUUUAAUAGACUACAACAUUUUAUAAAAUGAUCCAAUCACACCUAAAAAUAAAAUGAUCCAACCACACCUAAAAAGAUUGAUAACGACUCCCGUUUUCAUUUUUCAAAAAUCGAUUCGCGUUUUUCAAACAUCACUUUAAAAAAUAGUUUCGACCUCGAUGCUGUUUCAGUGUUGAAGAUAGCCUCCACGUCUUUCGUCACGGUCUUAUAUCAACAGAAGUGUGGCAAAAGUUACAGCUUUCCUGGGUAAUUAAUACUGCGAGUCAAAAUAUUUGGGAGUGGCUAACCUAGGUUUUCACGAGAGGGAAUGAUGAACAAUGCCAGCUUUUCUGCUAUGCUUUGUGGUUAAUCUGGUUUUCCAGAAAUCAAUUUAUUCAUGAGAGAAAGAGCACGACUGGCACAGAUCUAGCAAAAAGCGUACAGAGACAUAUGGAGGAAUACGAAGGAAUGCGAUCAAAAAAGAGUCAUGUUAAUACCAUCAAAAACCAAAGCGCACAGGAAGACUCACCAAGUUUGACGGUUAAGUUUGAUGCAGCUUUUAAUGGCAGAAAUUUCAAGUCAGCGACAGGUCUGGUAGCGUGGGGGAUUAGGGGUGAACUAUUGGCAUUAAAGUCGAACCUUCACAGCAACGUGUCCGCAUUUUCAGCAGAAGCAUAUGCAUGUUAUGAAGCCAUUAAGUUAGGGAUUUCCAUGGGUUUGCAAUCGGUUAAAAUCAUGGGGAUUCCAGAACAGUUGUUAAAAAGUGUAAAACAACAACAAAAGACAAAUCAGAGAUCGGAGCGAUUAUCAGAGAUAUUCAAAAUACAACAACCAGAUUUCAAGAGAUCCACUUCCAGUAUAUCCACAGAACAGAGAACUUGAGAGCUCAUAGAAUCGCAAAGAACACACUUGCAAGAGGAGAAAGAUCGUACCUGACGGGAGAAGAACUACAUGACCAGGCGUUCGGUUCGGCGGGGCGAUGGCCACGAUGCCCAGACUGAAGGACCUUUGAGACAAAUGAGACUCACAACCAGAUAGCAGAAAUGAUUUAUUUUUCUCUUUGGGAAUUGCUAUCAUCAGAACGGGUGGUUUUUGAAAUGAAAAUGCGAGUAGUUUUAAUGGGUGCCAGUAGUUUGAGUUGACCGGGGUGGAUGAGUAGGUUUCCUGUUUUCUUUUCAUUAUCAUUUAUUGCUUCUGUCGUUCUUAUCCAGUUAAUAGUUCUUUUCUUUUUUUAAUUCCUUUAGGAGGCCUCCACUAUUAAACUGUCCAGUAAGGCCGUUCUUCUUUUGUAUGUUCCUAGCCAGAGUAGGAUUGAGCCCAAUUGAUCUGUUUGGGCCUAUUUUAGUUUUCUUUUUCCAAAUAAAGUACCCGGCCAAUUUUAAUUUCAAAAAACAAAAAUU